rnacentral:rRNA from 1 species
CCCAGUUCGGAUCGGAGCCUGCAACCCGGCUCCGUGAAGCUGGAUUCGCUAGUAAUCGCGCAUCAGCCAUGGCGCGGUGAAUACGUUCCCGGGCCUUGUACACACCGCCCGUCAAGCCAUGGGAGCCGGGGGCGCCUGAAGUGCGGUACCGCGAGGGCCGCCCAAGGGCGAGACCGGUGACUGGGGCUAAGUCGUAACAAGGUAUC